CCUCCUCCAUGUUGCUGUAAGGACUGUGUUAAUGAGGUAUCCUCCUCCAUGUUGCUGUAAGGACUGUGUUAAUGAGGUAUCCUCCUCCGUGUUGCUGUAAGGACUGUGUUAAUGAGGUAUCCUCCUCCGUGUUGCUGUAAGGACUGUGUUAAUGAGGUAUCCUCAUCCGUGUUGCUGUAAGGACUGUGUUAAUGAGGUAUCCUCCUCCAUGUUGCUGUAAGGACUGUGUUAAUGAGGUAUCCUCCUCCAUGUUGCUGUAAGGACUGUGUUAAUGAGGUAUCCUCCUCCGUGUUGCUGUAAGGACUGUGUUAAUGAGGUAUCCUCUUCUGUGUUGCUGUAAGGACUGUGUUAAUGAGGUAUCCUCCUCCAUGUUGCUGUAAGGACUGUGUUAAUGAGGUAUCCUCCAUGUUGCUGUAAGGACUGUGUUAAUGAUGUAUCCUCCUCUGUGUUGCUGUAAGGACUGUGUUAAUGAGGUAUCCUCAUCUCUCUGCAGGGUGUUUCCUCUCUGUAGUUCUUCAAAUGACUGAAUAGGGUGUUGGGGGGUCCUUGGGAGGACAUUGGAC